AAAAAGGGCGUGUACCGUGACUGGUACAGGGAAGGGGUGGGAAACUGCUUCCUCUCUGCGGAAUCUAUAUCAAGAGAUUUCGGGCGCACAAUUUUUGUGCACUCGGGCUGCCGAUGAUCGUGUAUCUUGGCGCCCCU